rnacentral:rRNA from 1 species
CAAUAGCGUAUAUUAAAGUUGUUGCAGUUAAAAAGCUCGUAGUUGAAUUUUUGCUUGCCGCCGAUGUCGGAACUUCCGUACGUUCGGCGGCGUGCAUCCUUGGGUGGAACCUGUGUGGCAUUAGGUCGUCGUGCAGGGGAUGCUCAUCGUUUACUGUGAAAAAAUUAGAGUGUUCAAAGCAGGCUUACGCCGUUGAAUAUAUUAGCAUGGAAUAAUAAGAUAGGACCUUGGUACUAUUUUGUUGGUUUGCGCACCGAGGUAAUGAUUAACAGGGACAGUUGGGGGUAUUCGUAUUCCAUUGUCAGAGGUGAAAUUCUUGGAUUUCUGGAAGACGAACUACUGCGAAAGCAUUUACCAAGGAUGUUUUCAUUAA